CCGUGGGUGUCUCCCGAAUGGGCUUCUUCCACCGGGGGCCCUGGAAACGGGGUGACGCAGAGGGAGGAGGCCACCCCUCUGUGGGUGGACAACACCCACGCUCACUGAGAGUGAGGUGGACACGUGUCACAAGACUUUGCUGCUGGGGUGGAAAUCCUCGGGGAAGAGGCCUGAGGUGCUUGUGGCCUCCACCCCCCGGGGGUCACUUCCUCCUUGGGUCCUGAGCUGGGCUGCAGGUGUCCCGCCUCCUCUUGCCCAGGGAAGUCUCUAGAAGGUGCUGGCCACAGGACUCCUCUGUGGGCGCUCGGUUUCCAGCCUCCAGGCCUUCCUUCACAGCUGCUGUUCCUCAUUUACCCCUCCUCUCCAGUCCCCACGUUUGCACAUCUGUGUGUUGCGUCACUUGGCUGCGUGGUGACACACCCUGGAAGUAGGUUUGUUCCGUGUCUCCGAGAGCCUUUGGCCUGGGGACGCUGCCAGUGCCUUUCUCCCCGGGACACUGCCUGCUGGGCCUGCUCCCUCCGGGGCUGCCUGCCCCUCACAAGGCUGCACUUUCUCAGGGGACGUCUCUUUGGGGUCUUUCGGGUCCUUCUGAGAAGUCACACCAGUCACCAGUGACCCCCGCCCAAACACAAAACCAGAGACUGACAAAAUGUUACCAGGCUGUGAUUUUACCAGGAAGAGACUCUGGGAAAAUGACUGUUAUUGCCAUCAUUUCCCAUGAAGGAAGGACGUUUUAGCACUCAGUAAAGCUGACGGAGGAAUGCUUGGUCCAGGUUGGCAGAUGUUCCUGGAAGGUUUGGGAACCAGUGUCCUAAGGAGACUCACUCUGGCCUAGAGGCCCAGCUCUUACUGCCUGUGGGUCCUGUCUCCAUGCUACUCCAUGCUAUUCUCUGAAUAAAAGACCACUACUGCCAGACCUUGAGAGUCCAAGAAAUCUUUCUGUCGACUCCUCGGCUCACCGAGCCCGCCUCAGGUAUCAUCUGCAAGAGGCCACCCAGCAUUGUCUCCCAAACAGCAUCCUCCACCCAGUGAAUCGCAGGGGCCCACCUGCCCACGCCCAGCCUGAGCUGCAGUCUCCCGAGUUUUCUGGCCACAAAGAUGUCUGCCUGAGGCCCAGAGAAGAGAGCCAGGGGCCGGCUCAAGGCCGCCUCUCCCCACAAGUAAGGUGCCCCAGGGACAGUUCCCCAGCAGGAAACUGCUUCACCCUCUGGCCCCUUUGCCCUGGGUUUGGAAUCUGCACACUGACCCCCAUGUGACUGACUCCCCAGUCACUGACUCCUCUCUGGAGCCUCCUGGAAACCCCCAGACCAGGGUCACAGCAGGGCUUUGGGGCCAGGGUGGGGGUGGGAUGCAGCAGGGGAGUCUUUGGGUGGGGGAGGAGUCUCUACAUCAGGGUGGGGAUGAGUGGUUGUGAGAAACAGAAAAUGCGUAUAUUGGUCUCUAUCUCCAUUCCUGGCACAGAACUCCUAAAACUCCUAUGUGAUAAGAGGACUAGGAGCAUCUUUUGUUCUGAUAUUUGGUCUUUGACCCCAGUUCUUGACUCAGAGC